UACGUAGGGUGCGAGCGUUGUCCGGAAUUAUUUGGGCGUAAAGAGCUCGUAGGCGGUCUGUCGCGUCGAAUGUGAAAACCCGGGGCUCAACUCCGGGCUUGCAUUCGAUACGGGCAGGCUAGAGUUCGGUAGGGGAGUCUGGAAUUCCUGGUGUAGCGGUGAAAUGCGCAGAUAUCAGGAGGAACACCGGUGGCGAAGGCGGGACUCUGGGCCGAUACUGACGCUGAGGAGCGAAAGCGUGGGGAGCGAACAGG
rnacentral:rRNA from 1 species